ACAAUGGGCGCAAGCCUGAUGCAGCGACGCCGCGUGAGGGAUGGAGGCCUUCGGGUUGUAAACCUCUUUUAUCGGGGAGCAAGCGAGAGUGAGUUUACCCGUUGAAUAAGCACCGGCUAACUACGUGCCAGCAGCCGCGGUAAUACGUAGGGUGCAAGCGUUAUCCGGAAUUAUUGGGCGUAAAGGGCUCGUAGGCGGUUCGUCGCGUCCGGUGUGAAAGUCCAUCGCUUAACGGUGGAUCCGCGCCGGGUACGGGCGGGCUUGAGUGCGGUAGGGGAGACUGGAAUUCCCGGUGUAACGGUGGAAUGUGUAGAUAUCGGGAAGAACACCAAUGGCGAAGGCAGGUCUCUGGGCCGUUACUGACGCUGAGGAGCGAAAGCGUG
rnacentral:rRNA from 1 species